AAGAAGUAAAGGCACAGCUAAGGAAACUUAGCGUCGCAAAGCUAUAGGGGCUAACGGGAUACCUAUGCCAGCCAGCUGCCAUU
rfam:Anoxybacillus flavithermus WK1, complete genome.